rnacentral:rRNA from 1 species
AGGAAUAUUGGUCAAUGGACGAGAGUCUGAACCAGCCAAGUAGCGUGAAGGAUGACUGCCCUAUGGGUUGUAAACUUCUUUUAUACGGGAAUAAAGUGAGGCACGUGUGCCUUUUUGUAUGUACCGUAUGAAUAAGGAUCGGCUAACUCCGUGCCAGCAGCCGCGGUAAUACGGAGGAUCCGAGCGUUAUCCGGAUUUAUUGGGUUUAAAGGGAGCGUAGGCGGACGCUUAAGUCAGUUGUGAAAGUUUGCGGCUCAACCGUAAAAUUGCAGUUGAUACUGGGUGUCUUGAGUACAGUAGAGGCAGGCGGAAUUCGUGGUGUAGCGGUGAAAUGCUUAGAUAUCACGAAGAACUCCGAUUGCGAAGGCAGCUUGCUGGACUGUAACUGACGCUGAUGCUCGAAAGUGUGGGUAUCAAACAGGAUUAGAUACCCUGGUAGUCCACACAGUAAACGAUGAAUACUCGCUGUUUGCGAUAUACAGUAAGCGGCCAAGCGAAAGCGUUAAGUAUUCCACCUGGGGAGUACGCCGGCAACGGUGAAACUCAAAGGAAUUGACGGGGGCCCGCACAAGCGGAGGAACAUGUGGUUUAAUUCGAUGAUACGCGAGGAACCUUACCCGGGCUUGAAUUGCAACUGAAUGAUGUGGAGACAUGUCAGCCGCAAGGCAGUUGUGAAGGUGCUGCAUGGUUGUCGUCAGCUCGUGCCGUGAGGUGUCGGCUUAAGUGCCAUAACGAGCGCAACCCUUAUCGAUAGUUACCAUCAGGUUAUGCUGGGGACUCUGUCGAGACUGCCGUCGUAAGAUGUGAGGAAGGUGGGGAUGACGUCAAAUCAGCACGGCCCUUACGUCCGGGGCUACACACGUGUUACAAUGGGGGGUACAGAAGGCAGCUACACGGCGACGUGAUGCUAAUCCCGAAAGCCUCUCUCAGUUCGGAUUGGAGUCUGCAACCCGACUCCAUGAAGCUGGAUUCGCUAGUAAUCGCGCAUCAGCCACGGCGCGGUGAAUACGUUCCCG